UACAGAGGUCCAAAGAGUUGAGCGGAUUCAUUGGGCGUAAAGGGUGCGUAGGCGGCGCGGUAAGUCGGGUGUGAAAUCUCGGAGCUUAACUCCGAAACUGCAUUCGAUACUGCCGUGCUUGAGGACUGGAGAGGAGACUGGAAUUUACGGUGUGGCGGUGAAAUGCGUAGAUAUCGGAAGGAAGACCAGUGGCGAAGGCGGGUCUCUGGACAGUUCCUGACGCUGAGGCACGAAGGCGAGGGGAGCAAACGGG
rnacentral:rRNA from 1 species